CUUUCUUUGCUGGCGACCGGCGCACGGGUGAGUAACACGUAUUCAACCUGCCCUUUACUCGGGGAUAGCCUUUCGAAAGAAAGAUUAAUACCCGAUAGCAUAAUGAUUCCGCAUGGUUUCAUUAUUAAAGGAUUCCGGUAAAGGAUGGGGAUGCGUUCCAUUAGGUUGUUGGUGAGGUAACGGCCCACCAAGCCUUCGAUGGAUAGGGGUUCUGAGAGGAAGGUCCCCCACAUUGGAACUGAGACACGGUCCAA
rnacentral:rRNA from 1 species